rnacentral:rRNA from 1 species
UACAGAGGUGGCAAGCGUCGCUCGGAAUCACUGGGCUUAAAGGGCAUGUAGGCGGGCGAGUAAGCGCCUUGUGAAAUCCCCCGGCUCAACCGGGGAACCGCUCGGCGAACUGCUCGUCUCGAGGGAGACAGGGGCGACCGGAACUCUGGGUGGAGCGGUGAAAUGCGUAGAUAUCCAGGGGAACGCCGGUGGAGAAAUCGGGUCGCUGGGUCUUUCCUGACGCUGAGGUGCGAAAGCCAGGGGAGCGAACGGG